rnacentral:rRNA from 1 species
GACGAACGCUGGCGGCGUGCUUAACACAUGCAAGUCGAGCGGUAAGGCCCUUCGGGGUACACGAGCGGCGAACGGGUGAGUAACACGUGAGUAAUCUGCCCAUCACUUCGGGAUAACUCCGGGAAACCGGUGCUAAUACCGAAUAUGACCACUUCAGGCAUCUGAUGGUGGUGGAAAGUUCCGGCGGUGAUGGAUGAGCUCGCGGCCUAUCAGCUUGUUGGUGGGGUAGGGGCCUACCAAGGCUUCGACGGGUAGCCGGCCUGAGAGGGUGACCGGCCACACUGGGACUGAGACACGGCCCAGACUCCUACGGGAGGCAGCAGUGGGGAAUAUUGGACAAUGGGCGAAAGCCUGAUCCAGCAACGCCGCGUGAGGGAUGACGGCCUUCGGGUUGUAAACCUCUUUCAGCAGGGACGAAGCGCAAGUGACGGUACCUGCAGAAGAAGCACCGGCCAACUACGUG